UACGGAGGGGGCUAGCGUUGUUCGGAAUUACUGGGCGUAAAGCGCACGUAGGCGGCUUUGUAAGUUAGAGGUGAAAGCCCGGGGCUCAACUCCGGAAUUGCCUUUAAGACUGCAUCGCUAGAAUUGUGGAGAGGUAAGUGGAAUUCCGAGUGUAGAGGUGAAAUUCGUAGAUAUUCGGAAGAACACCAGUGGCGAAGGCGACUUACUGGACACA
rnacentral:rRNA from 1 species